UGGGGAAUAUUGCACAAUGGGCGCAAGCCUGAUGCAGCCAUGCCGCGUGUAUGAAGAAGGCCUUCGGGUUGUAAAGUACUUUCAGUCGGGAGGAAGGUGGUAAGGUUAAUAACCUUGGCAAUUGACGUUACCGACAGAAGAAGCACCGGCUAACUCCGUGCCAGCAGCCGCGGUAAUACGGAGGGUGCAAGCGUUAAUCGGAAUUACUGGGCGUAAAGCGCACGCAGGCGGUUGAUUGAGUCAGAUGUGAAAUCCCCGGGCUUAACCCGGGAAUUGCAUCUGAUACUGGUCAGCUAGAGUCCUGUAGAGGGGGGUAGAAUUCCAUGUGUAGCGGUGAAAUGCGUAGAGAUGUGGAGGAAUACCGGUGGCGAAGGCGGCCCCCUGGACAAAGACUGACGCUCAGGUGCGAAAGCGUGGGGAGCAAACAGG
rnacentral:rRNA from 1 species